UACGAAGGGGGCGAGCGUUGUUCGGAUUUACUGGGCGUAAAGGGCGCGCAGGCGGCGCAUUUUGUCAGGCGUGAAAGCCCCGGGCUUAACCUGGGAACUGCGUUUGAUACGGAUGGGCUAGAGUUCGGGAGAGGAGAGUGGAAUUCCCAGUGUAGAGGUGAAAUUCGUAGAUAUUGGGAAGAACACCAGUGGCGAAGGCGGCUCACUGGCCCGGUACUGACGCUGAGGUGCGAAAGCGUGGGGAGCAAACAGG
rnacentral:rRNA from 1 species